UUCAGUGCGAGCGAUACGUUGAAGCUACAUUACUCACUCUCCUAGCGUUAAUAGAUUUGACAGGAAACAGGUUUAGUUUUUGUACUUAUCUACGUUCUUUAAAGAUGCGACCCAAGCAUUUUGAAAACAUCGUUCAACAUCACAAAACUUACCUGGAUCAGAAAAUUAUCGAUCUUCAGUACGUGCUUCAGAUACUUAGAAACGCAUCAGACUUAAGCAAAGAAUGGCUGGAGAAUCCUCACCACCAUUUAGGCUAUACAGAACUCAAUCAACAGAUUGAACAUGCGAUAUCAUCUCUAUGUAACGAGGCCAUGAAGA